rnacentral:rRNA from 1 species
UACAGAGGGGGCAAGCGUUGUUCGGAAUUACUGGGCGUAAAGGGCGCGUAGGCGGCCUGUUAGGUCGAACGUGGAAUCCCCGGGCUCAACCCGGGAACUGCGUCCGAUACUGGCAGGCUUGAAUCCGGGAGAGGGAUGCGGAAUUCCAGGUGUAGCGGUGAAAUGCGUAGAUAUCUGGAGGAACACCGGUGGCGAAGGCGGCAUCCUGGACCGGCAUUGACGCUGAGGCGCGAAAGCCAGGGGAGCAAACGGG